AAACUUAUAAUUUAAUGAAAAUAAUAAAUUGCAAAUUUAUAAAUAUAAUUGUUAUGUUAAUUAUUGAGUUUU
rnacentral:tRNA from 1 species